UGUCUGCUGCUUGGUCUCGACCUCAGUUUAGUAGAUGAUGAGAUCAUGCAGGGUUGCCGCCAGAAGAUUGCUCUGGAUAUAUGGGAGGCUGCACAAGAUCCCAUGUUAAUUCAGCUUAUGGCAGAACAUGUGCCUUCAGAGUAUGAGACUUCUGAUGUCUUUGACAUCGAAGAAGACUGAUUAUGUGUGUUUGUCUUUGUUUUUCUAGGAUUUGUGUGACAAAACUCUUGAUUGGUUUUCUAGGAAUUAUGUGACAAAACACUUGGUUUAUCAAUUUGUGGUUUGCUUUUGCAUGAAAGAGUUGCUUUAAUCAAAUUGAGAAAUAACGAACCCUCACUAAACCCUAAAUGAACCCUACCUAAACCCUAAACGAAACCUCACUAAACCCUAAACGAACCCUAACUAAACCCUAAAUGAAUCCUCACUAAACCAUAAACGAACCCUGACGAAAGCCUUCAUAAAAGUCCUUUGAUUGCCAACGGGGAAGGAAUAGGAAAUACGUAGAGAAGUUUGCUGCUAUGAUUCCUAGGAUAGUGAAGGCCGUUGCGCCACCUGAAAUCAAGAAGCAACUACUCCUCUCACCAUAUUCUAUCGUAGAUGUACCUAUGAAGUCCAGAUUGAACAAGUCUUGUGCCGAUUGUGGGGUAUACGCACUGAAACACUUGGAAUGUCUGCUGCUUGGUCUCGACCUCAGUUUAGUAGAUGAUGAGAUCAUAUAGGGUUGCCGCCAGAAGAUUGCUCUGGAUAUAUGGGAGGCUGCACAAGAUCCCAUGUUAAUUCAGCUUAUGGCAGAACAUGUGCCUUCAGAGUAUGAGACUUCUGAUGUCUUUGACAUCGAAGAAGACUGAUUAUGUGUGUUUGUCUUUGUUUUUCUAGGAUUUGUGUGACAAAACUCUUGAUUGGUUUUCUAGGAAUUAUGUGACAAAACACUUGGUUUAUCAAUUUGUGGUUUGCUUUUGCAUGAAAGAGUUGCUUUAAUCAAAUUGAGAAAUAACGAACCCUCACUAAACCCUAA
rnacentral:lncRNA from 1 species